rnacentral:tRNA from 2 species
GCGGCUGUGGCGGAAUCGGUAGACGCGCAGCGUUGAGGUCGCUGUGGGAUAAAACCCGUGGAAGUUCAAGUCUUCUCAGCCGCACCA